CGGGGCGUAGCUAUAAUACAAAGCAUUCAGCUUACACCUGAAAGAUACCUAUCACCUCUUAGGUCGCCCUGA
rnacentral:tRNA from 1 species